GACGAACGCUGGCGGCGUGCUUAACACAUGCAAGUCGAGCGGUAAGGCCCUUUCGGGGGUACACGAGCGGCGAACGGGUGAGUAACACGUGGGUGACCUGCCCUCAGCUCUGGGAUAAGCCUGGGAAACCGGGUCUAAUACCGGAUAUGACUCCAUGACGCAUGUUGUGGGGUGGAAAGCCUUGUGCGGCUGAGGAUGGGCCCGCGGCCUAUCAGCUUGUUGGUGGGGUGAUGGCCUACCAAGGCGACGACGGGUAGCCGGCCUGAGAGGGCGACCGGCCACACUGGGACUGAGACACGGCCCAGACUCCUACGGGAGGCAGCAGUGGGGAAUCUUGCGCAAUGGGGGAAACCCCUGACGCAGCGACGCCGCGUGCGGGAUGAAAGGCCU
rnacentral:rRNA from 1 species